rnacentral:rRNA from 1 species
UACCAGCACCCCGAGUGGUCGGGACGAUUAUUGGGCCUAAAGCAUCCGUAGCCGGUCCUGCGAGUCUUCCGUUAAAUCCACCUGCUCAACAGAUGGGCUGCGGAGGAUACUACAGGGCUAGGAGGCGGGAGAGGCAAGCGGUACUCAGUGGGUAGGGGUAAAAUCCUCUGAUCCACUGAAGACCACCAGUGGCGAAGGCGGCUUGCCAGAACGCGCUCGACGGUGAGGGAUGAAAGCUGGGGGAGCAAACCGG